UACGAAGGGGGCUAGCGUUGCUCGGAAUGACUGGGCGUAAAGGGCGCGUAGGCGGGCCAGCCAGUCUGUGGUGAAAGCCUCCAGCUUAACUGGAGAAGUGCCGUGGAUACUGUCGGGCUUGAGUCCGGAAGAGGCGAGUGGAAUUCCUGGUGUAGCGGUGAAAUGCGCAGAUAUCAGGAGGAACACCAAUGGCGAAGGCAGCUCGCUGGGACGUGACUGACGCUGAGACGCGAAAGCGUGGGGAGCAAACAGG
rnacentral:rRNA from 1 species